rnacentral:rRNA from 1 species
UACGGGGGGGGCAAGCGUUGUUCGGAAUUACUGGGCGUAAAGGGCUCGUAGGUGGCCAACUAAGUCAGACGUGAAAUCCCUCGGCUUAACCGGGGAACUGCGUCUGAUACUGGAUGGCUUGAGGUUGGGAGAGGGAUGCGGAAUUCCAGGUGUAGCGGUGAAAUGCGUAGAUAUCGUAAGGAAGACCAGUGGCGAAGGCGGGUCUCUGGACAGUUCCUGACGCUGAGGCACGAAGGCCAGGGGAGCAAACGGG